rnacentral:rRNA from 1 species
AGAGUUUGAUCCUGGCUCAGAAUCAACGCUGGCGGCGUGCCUAACACAUGCAAGUCGAGCGAGAAAAGGGGAGCAAUCCCCUGAGUAAAGCGGCGCACGGGUGAGUAACACGUGGGUAAUCUGCCCUGGAGUGGGGAAUAACACCGGGAAACCGGUGCUAAUACCGCAUACGAUCACGAAGUCUGCGGAUUUUGUGAUGAAAGGAGCAAUUCGCUCUAGGAGGAGCCCGCGGCUGAUUAGCUAGUUGGUGAGGUAACGGCUCACCAAGGCUACGAUCAGUAUCCGGUCUGAGAGGACGGUCGGACACACUGGAACUGAGACACGGUCCAGACUCCUACGGGAGGCAGCAGUGGGGAAUUUUUGGCAAUGGGGGCAACCCUGACCAAGCAACGCCGCGUGGGUGAUGAAGUCUCUUGGGACGUAAAACCCUUUCGACGGGGACGAAAGCCGCAAGGUUUGACGGUACCCGUAGAAGAAGCCCCGGCUAACUCCGUGCCAGCCGCCGCGGUAAUAC